GAGCCGCUGGUUUCGCUUCCCGCUCGCCGCUAGGGGCGGACGGGGCGCAGAAGUAGGCUGUUGUGAGAGCACCAGCAGAAGGAUGGUGGAUGGAACGAUGUGCUGCCCUGCUUGGAUGUUCCGCUUAUUGGGGAGUAGCUACCAGUCCAGCUUUGCACCACACAACGAGAGAGGAGAGCUGAGAGUUGAAGAUCAUUUAGAGGAUAAUGAAGCACAGAGCAGAGGAACCAUUUCUCCAUUUCCAUUGUUUUUUGACAUGCCAACAAGCAAAAGGCAAAGAGAGGCGCUCCAUCAGCAAAGAGGUAAAGCCAGAGCCGGUGCCCCCUCCAAAGCUGUGGAAGAUGAGGAACCCCUGCAGUCCA